rnacentral:lncRNA from 1 species
AUGGACCUGGCUUGAUCUGUGUUCAUCCAAAGAUGUAUAACAUACUUUGCAAACCCUAAAGCUCUAUAUGUUAACCAUCAUCAGUAUUUACUCUUUUAGCAGCCUUUUAUUGUAGUUUGGGAGCUCCUGGAAUCCUCUGUGAGUAAAAUUCCUUGCCCUAUGUAUGGAUGUCAAUGUUAUUUUCCUAGGAUUUACAGGCUACCCCCAAUGGUGGCCUUAAGCCUGACUAGGGGAAAUCCAGAACCCAGCCAGCGAGGGUGGGGCCCAGCCUGUCAUGGGAGGAAGCGAGGUCCCAGGAGGUAAGCAAAAUGACUAGCAAAGAAGGAAAGGCAGCUCUUCCUGCCACGGGAUGAGAGGAGGCUGAGGGAGGAAAGGAAGUCUGGCAGGGAGAGAGAAACUGGAAGAGGUGCCUUCAAUGCUUUUUUCCUGUUCCACCCAGUCUGCCUGUGCCUCUUUGCCCACUGUAAUUUUGGUCCCGCACAAAAGCUUUUCAUCUGUUCCCUUUCAUUUGUAUUUCCCUGGUCUCCGUUUGUUCUCUGUUUCUGUGUCUUUGUCUCAGUUUCAGAUUCUGUCCCUGUCUGAGCCUCAGUUUCUCUUAUCUAUAAAAUGAGGGGCCUGGAUUAGAUGGUCUCCAGAUCUCUCUUUUCCAGAUCUACCAGCAAGCAUUCUAUGACUCUGGGUGUGUGCGUCACUCUCCGUCUCUUUUUAAUCCCUGUGUAUCUAUGUAGUGUCUCUCUCAGUCUCCCUCCCACUCUGAGUGGUGUGACUGGCCCUUUAUCCCUAGCCAGUUAGACUGGAAAGGUGAGCAGGGCGGAGGAGGGAGGAGGCUGGAGGGCGGAGGGAAGGGAAAUUGCUUCUGGUCGCCUCACUCUUAUUCCCAGUCACCUUUGCCACCGCAGGCACCAGAGCCCACAGUUUCUGAGGCUAGGGUGCCAGGCGUGAACUUCUCCACCCCUCCUGUCCAACCGCGCAACUUCCCCUCUCCAAGGUCUCUGGAACUGAGCCAGGAGACACCCCAGAGCGGACAGAUCCUCUCCCAGUCUGGUUCCACCUGGGCUCCCCUCCACCUCUCCAGGAGUGAAGACUCCUAUUGCACUUAUAUCACUGCCACCAUGACGGGCCUCCCAACGCCCCCUCCCCCAAAAGGUAAGUUAUAUCCCAUUGGAAGGGUAGCUAGGUGGCGCAGUGGAUAGAGCACCGGCCCUGAAUUCAGGAGGACCUGAGUUCAAAUCCGGCCUCAGACACAUAACACUUACUACCUGGGUGAUCCUGGGCAAGUCACUUAACCCCAUUGCCUAGCCAAAAAAAAAAAAAAAAGGAAUUUUUUUUAAAAAAAAGUUAUAUCCCAUUGGAGAGGAAACUCCCGUUCUUGGGGCUUCAGCCUAGACUAAGGAGAAACCCCCAGCACUGGACUCUGAUUCAGACCUACCUGAUUUACCAAGGGGCAGCUCUCAGGUUAGCUUUGGGCCCAGGCAACUGAAACACACUUCUAGAAUCAUGAAAACCAGCUAAAGGCAACUCUAAACUAAAGGAGGCCUUUGUGGACUGAUGGCAGUAGCAAAUUCUCACUUUCUUGGAGAAGGUUCUGUCCUGCCUCUCACCCUCACCUUCUGGUGACACCAUUACCAUUUUCAAAAACUCCAUGCUCUUGAGAGGGAAAUUUCCCUGCUAAUAUAUUUAGGCCUAGUUUCUGCCCUCAAGUUUGCAGUGUUGUUAGGUAGAUCAGGCUAAUAAAUGGGAAACAUUUUUUUAAAAGUAAUUUGUA